AUCGCUUCUUGGCCUUUUGGCUAAGAUUAUGUGUA
rnacentral:snRNA from 1 species